rnacentral:rRNA from 1 species
UACGUAGGGUGCGAGCGUUGUCCGGAAUUAUUGGGCGUAAAGAGCUCGUAGGCGGUUUGUUGCGUCUAUCGUGAAAACCUGCAGCUUAACUGUGGGCUUGCGGUGGAUACGGGCAGACUUGAGUUCGGUAGGGGAGACUGGAAUUCCUGGUGUAGCGGUGAAAUGCGCAGAUAUCAGGAGGAACACCGGUGGCGAAGGCGGGUCUCUGGGCAAUAACUGACGCUGAGGAGCGAAAGCGUGGGGAGCGAACAGGG